rnacentral:lncRNA from 1 species
GGUGAUUUCCUCAAGUUCCAAUUUUUAUUUCUUUCUAUCUGGUUUUGGUGAGUUCUUUCUGUUGAUGUCUUCAUCCAGUAGAGAGAAGAGUAUUCUUUUUUUGGGUAGUUUGGCGUGUAUUUAUAUCUUCAUCCAGUAGAGAGAAGAGUUUUCUUCUUUGCGGCAUUUCUUCGAACAGUUGGUGUGUCUACUUUAUGGUGGCGCCCAUAUCUAGCAUAUCUUUAAUGUUUCUGUUGCGAUGGUUGAUGGGUCAUUUUCUUUGAUGCAUGUCACGAAAUGUGGACUCGGAUUUUCUGGUGUGGAGAUUGAAAGCUCCCUUUCUUGUUUCUGUGUUUUUAUUUGAUGUUUGUGCAGAUAGACACCUGCAACGCUUAUUACUGCGAGAAAUUCACACCGAACAAGUCCUAUAAGCCGAAAAUGUGGACUGAAGCUUGGACCGCUUGGUAAAGUCAUACUGAAGAAUCUUACACACUUCCGAGUGAUCGAAUUUGACGAUGCUAAUUUGGCUUCUCACAGGUUCACAUCAUGGGGGAACCCAGUGCUAUACAGACCAGCAGAGGAUCAGGCAUUUUCGGUUCUCAAGUUCAUCCAGAGUGGUGGUUCGUACGCGAAUUAUUACAUGGUAAGUCUCGAACUUUAAUGCUGCAAGACAUGUCAGUAUUUCCUCGUGGAUGUUAGAUUGCGAAUGUUAUCUUGAUGUCGAUUUUAUUGAGUUGUAUCUCAGUAUCAUGGUGGAACGAACCCUCCAGUCAAGGAUUCUCCUUUCUCUAUUUUUUUUUCUUUCUAUUAUGGCACCCUCUCGCUAGCUAGCUAAUUGGACCAUCUGGUGCUUGCAUUUAUUAUUCAUUGAAACUUACGCCAAGCCACUGGCUUAAGCAGCAGACCAACCACAGUCAGAAAAGAAUAGUUAUUGCGACAUUUCCAUUCUUCUGUAAUGUUGAGCCACAGCAGCCUGGCUCUGUUUUCAUUACUUCUGUUGCUAUGUUCUUCUUCUUCUCUCUGGGUUUCUCCAGUCACAGCUGCCGUCACUUACGACGGAAAAGCUAUCGUCGUCAAUGGGCAGCGUAGGAUUCUCAUCGCUGGCUCUAUUCACUACCCCAGAAGUACCCCUGAGGUCUAGUUUUUACAUUUCUCCUCCAUUCCAUUCUCCCCAUUGUGACUCUGUUUUUACAUUUAUCUGUUUCAUUUGUAAAUGCAGAUGUGGCCUGAUCUGAUACAGAAGGCCAAAGAUGGAGGCCUGGAUGUUAUUCAGACUUACGUUUUCUGGAAUGGCCACGAGCCUUCUCCUGGGAAUGUAAGAAAACCAAACUUUACUUUACUUCACUCCUCUCUUUCUUGUUUUGGCCUCCCCUGUAAAGGAGAUGUAACUGAUUUUUAAUCUUUGUUUUCGGAAAUGCAGUAUUAUUUCGAGGAUAGGUUCGACCUGGUGAAGUUCGUGAAGGUGGUUCAGCAAGCAGGCCUAUACGUUAAUCUCCGAAUCGGUCCUUACGCUUGUGCAGAAUGGAACUUUGGGUAUAUUUUAAAGCGAUCCCUUGCUCUGUUUUCCUUCUCUCUGCAUUAUUUUUAUGGGUUUUGAACCAUGCUCUGUUUUUUUCCGUGGAUGCAGAGGAUUCCCUGUUUGGCUAAAGUAUGUCCCUGGAAUGUCUUUCAGAACUGACAAUGAACCGUUCAAGGUAAAAUUAGGCGUGUUCUUGGAUCCUGGUUGAUUCUUUUUACUUUUACCCUCUUGUUUGUUGAAAAAAGCUGACGGAUUUUACAAUGUGUUUUUGACUUUUGACAUGAAAGGCGGCUAUGCAAAAGUUCACAGAGAAAAUCGUCAACAUGAUGAAGCAAGAAGAGCUCUUUGAACCACAGGGAGGCCCAAUAAUUCUCUCCCAGGUUUGAAAGUCAAUUUCUUUUCCCACAUUUUGAUCAGAUUUUUAAAAUCAGCCUAAACCCAAGUCGCUAUCACGAAUCCAGAAACUGAAAUCAGCCGAAACCCAAGUCUCUAUCACGAAUCCAGAAACUAGUGUUUUUUAUUUUGUCUGUUUAGAUUGCUUAGCUGGUUGGUUUGGGUUAAGCAAAUUAAAAAAUUGCAGAUAGAGAACGAGUACGGGCCGAUAGAAUGGGAGCUGAAAGCACCGGGGAAAGCAUACGCACAGUGGGCAGCUCAGAUGGCGGUGGGACUCAACACAGGAGUUCCAUGGAUUGCGUGCAAGCAAGAGGAUGCCCCUGACCCUCUGGUAUUUUCCUCCAGUUCCAAAUUCUUCUUUUUGGGUAGUUUGGCAUGUAUUUUUGUCUUGAGCGGGUAGAGAGAUGACACGCGAGUAUUCUUCUUUGCGGCAUUUCUUCGAACAGUUGGUGUGUCUACUUUAUGGUGGCGCCCAUAUCUAGCAUAUCUUUAAUGUUUCUGUUGCGAUGGUUGAUGGGUCAUUUUCUUUGAUGCAUGUCACGAAAUGUGGACUCGGAUUUUCUGGUGUGGAGAUUGAAAGCUCCCUUUCUUGUUUCUGUGUUUUUAUUUGAUGUUUGUGCAGAUAGACACCUGCAACGCGUAUUACUGCGAGAAAUUCACACCAAACAAGUCCUAUAAGCCUAAAAUGUGGACUGAAGCUUGGACCGCUUGGUAAGUCAUACUGAAGAAACUUCCGAGUGAUCGAUCGAAUUUGAUGAUGCUAAUAUGGCUUCUCACAGGUUCACAUCAUGGGGGAACCCAGUGCUAUACAGACCAGCAGAGGAUCAGGCAUUUUCGGUUCUCAAGUUCAUCCAGAGUGGUGGUUCGUACGCGAAUUAUUACAUGGUAAGUCUCGAACUUUAAUGCUGCAAGACAUGUCAGUAUUUCCUCGUGGAUGUUAGAUUGCGAAUGUUAUCUUGAUGUCGAUUUUAUUGAGUUGUAUCUCAG